rnacentral:lncRNA from 1 species
CCAAGUCCGUGAUUACUAGAUCUGAGUUCUACAAUAGAACCUAAAAACUGUUUCCAACCCAUCACGACAUCACCCUGAAAAAUGAGUGAGCAGUCACUGAGGCUUCCCAAGUUUGAAAAUUCCACAAGACUGAGAGCAAAUGUUUUGUUGAAACUGAAGUCAAGAUGAAGUCAGCUGACUCUCAAACCUCAGGUGAAGUGACUCAGGGCCCACACCCCGGUUCUGAGGCAGGGACACAUUUUACUUGCAGCACCCUGCAGCUUUGGAUGAGGCUGCAACCCGGGUGAAUCCUGGCCCUGCUAUCACGUGGGCAGCCACUGCAUCCUCCGGAGGCUGUGGAUGGGAGUCACCAUGCUGGGAGGUCUGGAGUAAGAUCUGUGCCAUCUGCCUUGCCCAAUCCUGUACCAGUGCCUGUGUUUCAAAAUCUCAAAAUAAAAGUGAUUAUUCUUGCAAAAAAAAAAAAAAA